rnacentral:lncRNA from 1 species
AUGCUGCUGCCUGUUACAGCAGCAGCAGCCAUGGGCUCAGCCCCCUCCCCCGCCAUUCAUUCAUUUCACGCACAUUUCUUGCCUGCCUGCAGCUGGGCAGGCACUGCAUGCGGUGCCACAGCUACGGCAGAAAACACAGCACCAAAGCCUCCGGGAAGUAAAGGUAGGAGAGGGCCUGGGGUCACAAGAACAGAAGGUCUGGAUGAGGAGCACGCCCAGAAAGCGAGAAAAGGACCGAGGAAAGCCAAGCCCGCGUGGCUACAGAGCAGGCCCCUGGGCUCUGUACUGAGCGUUUGGCAUAGAAGCAGGCCACGUCCAUGGCCCAGGGGCAUCAACAGCACCCCUGGGAGAUUUGGGGGGUAUUCGGUGGGUUCAAACACCAGGAUGAUAGGAGACCAGGGCCCUGUAGGGUAUACAGGUGGCUUGAAGUGGGCGUGGGAGCCAGGAGAGGAAAGCAUCUGCUCCAGGGUCCGGGGCAGGUACACUAUUAGGCAGCAAGAUUCCCAACCUGUGGGACCACAGGCCAGCGAGGGAGGGGUUGCGGCCAAGCCCUGCUCCUCCAGCCGGAGAGGGGAGGGAGUCUUGGUGAGAGCCCAGCCUUGGGGAACGCCUGCCUCAGGGCUUCCUUGCCAGGAGGGGCUCAUCAGUCCCCUGCCUGUAUGGAAGGCAGAACUUAGAGCUUUAAAAGGACUGGUGGGGGGUGUAACCCCUCCAUUUGGCUCUGGGGGAUGUGAAGAGGGUGGAGGAGGCUCGUUUCUUCCCAACCUCGAGUGGGUGGGGCCCAAGCCGCAAGCCCAGACAACUGCGUGCUCCAGGACCCCACCCGCACCCCAGUGCCCCUGCAGCCUCCCUCGUCUCUGUGCAGCUGGCUCCCCGGCGCAUUCGCCUGCUUUCAGUAGCGCAGUAUCACAGAAGGGGUACGUUUCAAGGAAAAGAGAUUAUUUGGCUCACAGUUCUGAGUCCCAAGGUCAAGGUGAUGGCUCUUGCUGGCAGAGCCCUGGGGGGCGCAGGGGCAUCACAAGGGGAGAGGCAGGGAGCAUGAGUGUUUGUGUGUAUGAGAGACCGUGUGCGUGA